AUACGGAGGGUGCAAGCGUUAUCCGGAUUUAUUGGGUUUAAAGGGUCCGUAGGCGGAUCUGUAAGUCAGUGGUGAAAUCUCAUAGCUUAACUAUGAAACUGCCAUUGAUACUGCAGGUCUUGAGUAAGGUAGAAGUAGCUGGAAUAAGUAGUGUAGCGGUGAAAUGCAUAGAUAUUACUUAGAACACCAAUUGCGAAGGCAGGUUACUAUGUCUUAACUGACGCUGAUGGACGAAAGCGUGGGGAGCGAACAGGAUUAGAUACCCUAGUAGUCC
rnacentral:rRNA from 1 species